UACCACAGCGGCUGGCACAUAGGAAGUACCAUGGGAACGUUAAAGAAUCAUCAGAGCUGUCAUAAUCUACCAGACUUUGAGAAGCUCGUAGGGGAGGCAGACUAUCAGCCUGGAGCGUGGCAUGGGUCUCCUUGGAUAUCACAAGAUGGCUCAGAGAUCCAGAAGAAACAUUAGAAGCCCAGGAGAUCGAAGCAUGAGCACUUCUGGGACUACCAGGAGCAGCCGAAGGGCUAAGUUCUGUUUGGUUGCUACUUCCGUCUUGGACAAGGGUGGGCACGUGACCUAGACUGACCAGUCAGAGUGCCUCAUGCUCCUGGCGACAAUGACUGCUUCCAACAUGAAUCUGUGACCCCAGCGGGCCAAUCAGAUCCCCCCCCCCCGGGACUCUUGCUGGAGAUAUUAAAGAUGAUACUGUAAGGCUGCUGCAAGCCAGGCACUGCUGGAAGCCCCGCCCGAGAAUGAAUUCAGAGUUGCAAGAUACGGGAAAAGAGCAAUGAUCAACAAUAUGAUCGAAUCCCUGUAUAUACAAGUGUAUAUUCAGUGAUCUCUGAUGCCAACAAGCCCCUUGGAAUGAAUUUCUA